ACCUCAGCAAGGCUACGCCAUCCAAAAGGGAAAUGAAUAUGAAGGACAAAACAUAAAACUAUGUACACCCCAUCUGCCUCCAAUUUUUUACUGUCUAAUGCUCAGUAUGACUCUUUACAAGUUUAUUUCAGUUCAUCUCGCCUGGGAAUGUGGUGUUUCUUCUGGACACUAUUUUUGUGGAUCAAGUGGUACAAAGCUUGGUAAGGUUUUAGUCAUGCUGGUUGCAGUUGUUAAUGUUGGUUGGACUCUGCUCCAAAUCAAGCUCAACAUCUGCUACUGGUUUCAGUUCGGUUGAGGCAGAGCGAAGGAUGAGUGUAGAACCAAAAGGAUGAGAAUAAUGUUUGGUGCAUCAAAUAGAGAAUUGUUGUUAGAGAAAGGUUUCAAACUCAACAAAUGUAAAAUUUGGUACUGUCAUGUACCAACCCAUAUUAUUUUCUCUUUUUUCUUCAAGCAGUAAGCCU
rnacentral:lncRNA from 1 species